UUUAGUUGGGCACUCUAGCGAGACUGCCGGUGACAAACCGGAGGAAGGUGGGGAUGACGUCAAAUCAUCAUGCCCCUUAUGACCUGGGCUACACACGUGCUACAAUGGGAAGUACAACGAGUCGCUAGACCGCGAGGUCAUGCAAAUCUCUUAAAGCUUCUCUCAGUUCGGAUUGCAGGCUGCAACUCGCCUGCAUGAAGCCGGAAUCGCUAGUAAUCGCGGAUCAGCACGCCGCGGUGAAUACGUUCCCGGGCCUUGUACACACCGCCCGUCACACCACGAGAGUUUGUAACACCCGAAGUCGGUGAGGUAACCUUUUUGGAGCCAGCCGCCUAAGGUGGGAUAGAUGAUUGGGGUGAAGUCGUAACAAGGUAGCCGUAUCGGAAGGUGCGGCUGGAUCACCUCCUUUCUAAGGAA
rnacentral:rRNA from 1 species